AUGAACUCCAAAUCCUACUGGGACCAAAAAUCCAUGGAUUCCUCUUGCUUUCAACCAAAAUGCUCCAGCUUCUUCCUGUUAUUCACAAUACUGAUUUCUCUGCUGCCCAGAUCUUCUUGCCUACAGUUACCGAAAAAGGGUUUCCCCCCGCUUUGUAUUACAAAGCAAUCUUGCCUACAGUUCACAAACCAAUCUGGUGAUGAACACCAAAUCCUCCUGGGACUCGAGAGAUAUUGGGGGAGCUCACCUGUGCUUGGAAGAUGGAGCCUCACUUCUUCUAACCACUGUAAAUGGGGAGGAAUUACAUGCACAGAUGGUUUGGUCACUGCCAUUUCCCUUCCACAGCAAACCUUUAGGAAACCAAUCCCACCGUCCCUUUGCCUCCUCAAGAAUCUUACCAACUUGGACCUCUCCUACAAUAACUUCUCCACUUCAUUCCCUACCAUACUCUACAAUUGCUCCAAUCUGAAGUACCUAGACCUUUCCAACAAUGUCUUUGGUGGGAAACUCGCAGCUGACAUAAACUGUUUAUCAGCAAAGCUCGAGCAUCUCAACUUAUCAAGCAAUCGUAUCAUGGGGGAAAUUCCACCAUCGAUUGGAUGGUUUCCAAAGCUCAAGUCACUGCUCCUCGACACGAAUCAGUUUGACGGAAGUUAUCCAGCAAAGGACAUCAGCAAUCUAGCCAACCUCGAGGUGCUGACACUAGCGGGAAAUCCAUUUCUGCCAGCUCCAUUUCCAGUUGAGUUUGGCAAGUUGACACGCCUCACAUACUUGUGGCUGUCAGGUAUGAACAUGACAGGUGAGAUCCCUGAGCUCAGUCUCUUGAGUGUAUCAAAUAAUAUGCUGCAAGGCACAAUUCCUACAUGGGUAUGGCAGCAUAAGAAGCUUCGGCGCUUGUACAUGUAUACCAACCAUUUCACAGGCGAGAUUUCAUCCUGUGUCAGCGCCGUAAACUUGGUGGAGCUUGAUGUAUCCUCAAACAAUCUAACAGGGACAAUACCAGAUGACUUUGGUAGGCUCAUCAACCUUACCUUGUUGUUUCUCUACACAAAUCAACUUCAUGGGUCAAUAUCGCCAAGCAUCGGGUUGCUGCCGAAUCUCAGAGACAUCCGGCUAUUUGAGAACAUGUUAUCUGGUUCCCUUCCACCAGAGCUUGGUAAGCACUCACCACUAGGUAAUCUUGAGGUCUGCAACAAUAACCUCUCGGGCGAGUUGCCAGCUGAUCUUUGCUCCAACAGGAAGUUAUAUGACAUCGUUGUGUUCAAUAAUAACUUUUCUGGAAAGCUUCCACAAUCGUUAGACGGCUGCUACCGGUUGAACAAUUUAAUGCUGUACAACAAUCAUUUUACUGGAGAGUUCCCCAAGAGCCUCUGGUCAGUGGUGACAAAUGAGCUAACGGUGGUUAUGAUCCAAAAUAACAAUUUCUCUGGCACAUUUCCUACCCAGCUACCAUGGAACUUCACGCGCCUUGACAUAAGUAACAAUAGAUUCUCUGGUCCCAUUCCAACUUUAGCAGGCAAAAUGAAAGUAUUCAGGGCAGCAAACAACUCUCUUUGUGGCGAAAUUCCCUGGGAUUUGAUGGGUAUUUCACAGGUAGGUGAACUUGACCUUUCUGGAAAUCAAAUUAAUGGAUCAAUACCCAUGACAAUUGGAGUGCUAAAGCUCAACGCACUUAAUCUAAGUGGAAAUCAGAUAUCUGGUACUAUACCUGCAGCGUUUGGAUUUAUGUCAGGGUUAACCAUCCUUGACCUCUCCUCAAAUGAGCUAUCUGGCGAGAUCCCAAGAGCGAUCAAUAAGUUGAAACUGAACUUUCUAAACCUCUCCAUGAAUCAACUCACGGGGGAAAUACCAACAUCAUUGCAAAACGAAGCAUAUGAGCGAAGCUUCCUCUUCAAUCCAGGCCUCUGUGUCUCAUCGAAUAAUUCCAUCCCUAAUUUCCCAAUUUGCAGUGCAAGAGCAAACAACAACAAUGAUACCUCCAGGAGGCUUAUAGCCCUCUUUUUUGUUCUUGCCAGUAUCAUGCUUGUGGGUUUGAUAGUUGGUGGUUUCUUGCUACUAAAGAGGCAAAAGAAUACCCAAGAUCCUCUAUCAUGGAAGCUGACCCAGUUUCAUGCACUGCAUUUCACAGAAUAUGAUGUUCUUUCUGGGCUCUGUGAGCAGAACUGGAUUGGAAGUGGCAGGUCUGGCAAGGUGUGCCGAAUUUGUGUUGUGGAUGGAGAAGGUGGUAGUAGAAUGGUGGCUGUUAAAAAGAUAUGGAACGCCCAGAACCUUGGUAACAAGCUCGAGAAGGACUUCCUUGCAGAGGUCCAGAUAUUGGGUGAGAUCUGGCACACAAACAUUGUCAAGCUGCUCUGCUGCAUCUCAAGCUCAGAGGCAAAGCUUCUUGUCUAUGAGUACAUGGAAAAUGGUAGCUUAGACAGGUGGCUGCAUCAGAGGGAUAGAGUUGGUUCACUGGCACCUUUGGAUUGGCCCACCAGAUUGCAAAUUGCCAUCGACUCAGCAAGAGGUCUCUGCUAUAUGCACCAUGAUAGUUCACCCGCCAUAGUGCACUGUGAUGUCAAGUCUGCCAAUAUCCUUCUGGACCCCGAGUUCAGAGCAAAGAUAGCUGACUUCGGCCUUCCUCGGAUUCUUCUCAAAACCGGAGAUCCUGAGUCAAUUUCUGGCAUAGGUGGUACCUUUGGCUACAUGGCACCAGAGUACGGAUACCGGCUUAAGGUGAAUGGGAAGGUCGAUGUCUACAGCUUCGGAGUGGUCCUGUUGGAGCUCACAACGGGGAGGGUGGCAAAUGAUGGAGGCUUGGAGUACUGCUUGGCAGAAUGGGCAUGGAGACAGUAUCAAGAGUAUGGCCUGUCAAUUGAUCUUCUUGAUGAAGACAUUCGAGAUCCAGCCAACAUUGAAGAUGCAUUCGCAGUGUUUACGCUAGGUGUGAUCUGUACAGGUGGGCAGCCUUCAGUGCGGCCAUCAAUGAAGGAUGUGCUGUACGCUCUUCUCCGGUUUGAACAUAAAUCCAGGGAAAGAAGCCCGCAGCAUGUUGUCUCUGAAGAAACGUCACUUCUAGAAUCCUAG
rnacentral:rRNA from 1 species